GCGCUCUUAGUUCAGUUCGGUAGAACGUGGGUCUCCAAAACCCGAUGGCGUAGGUUCAAGUCCUACAGAGCGUG
rnacentral:tRNA from 1 species